GAGCCCGCAAGCCGGGCAUGUGCCUUUGACCGAAACUGAAUCGGGGACCCUUCAGUCCGCAGGCUGACGCUCUAUCCACUGAGCCAGACCGGCUGGGCAUGAAUUCAGUUUUCCCCUGAUGGUGCAGAGUUCCCUCCAGGCCCCGCACCCCAGCAGAGGGAAUAUACUGGAGAGAGCACAGUGGGAGGCUUUCCCCUAAAUAUGACUCAGUGUCCAGAGGCAAGGCUCUUUCGCAUACUCUGACCUGGCACAGCGGCCAGCUCCCUCCCGCCUCCUGGGCCUGGCCGCAGUCUGCAGUCCACCUGCCUUCUCUCCUCCACCAUCCUGAGUGGGAGGAGAUGGGGAUGGUGGACAGGGCACCGGGUUUGAGUCCAGAGGCUGAAGCUCCGUCAUACCACCCAUCAUUGCCAGGUGACUUGGGACAAGUCCCUCCUUCAUUCCGUCCACACUGAACCCCUUUAUAUGCCAGGCAUUAGUGGUUAAAUAUGGUCACUGCCCAGGGACGCCAGCCAUCUCUAGUUAAUUAUCUGUAACCUCUCAGAGGAUGGUAACACAUCUGGCACAUUAUGAGGCUGAAAUGAUUAGGGCAGUGAAAAUAUUUGUGAGCAGCGAGUUCCCCCACUGAGUGGUUAAGUCUUCUCUAGCUAUGCUAGCAAACCACAGGGUGGGGGUGGGCCAGGGAGGAGCUUGGAGCCUGGAUGGAUGGUCUCAGCAGGAGCCCUAGGACCACGGAGGCUGCUGGGAUCCCAGGUUGCCUCCACCAUUGCUUCCCUUUGUGCGCCUGUCUU